CGGGUUAGGAGAACUUGAUCCCGCAGGUACAAGCUUGGAGUAGACACCGACAGGCCGGGCUUCCUCCACUCUACACCUCCACUCUAUCUCUCUCAAUCUAGUAGAAACUAGAAGAUCUAUUUCUACCUUACAUUGAUUGCUAAGCCUAAAAAGAAAUAUUAAUUAGAGAAGAGGUUUUCCUUCGAGGGCACCCCUCAGUCUCUAUGAUAAUUUCUUCGUGUCUUCUCCAGGGCCAGGGGGCCUUGCUUAUAUAGUCCUCUCAUUCUAUGCGUUUUUGGGUCGAUAGCCGAGGUGGUACUAUGUUUUUCUUAAUCCAAUAGGUCGGUGGAAUAUCCCAAGCGAAGGAGUCCUGAAUUGGCUCCAGCAGGGGGGCGGGCGCCCAGGCUACCAGGGCGGGCGCCCUGGGCCUGGCCCAGCUUCGCCUCCGCUUCGGUCUCGUGGCUUCUGGAGUCUUCUAGAUGAUGUAAAAUUACGCGGUGCGUUGAUAUCUCUAUGUAAUCCCGACAUGUGGGCCUUUCUUCCUUAUUUCCUGAUAACCCCCUGCAGAAAUAGAUAAACAACAAAACUCGUGGAAUUCUGUCACAUCAAACCCUAAUUCUAGGUGAUGGUUGCAUAUUGGUCUUUUCUCAUGUUUAUUUGAUAAUUAAAAUUGAUACUUAAGAACCGUCAACAAAUACCCCCAUACUUAGGCUUUUACUCGUCCUCGAGAAAAGGAUGGUUAAGAAUAAUAUCUGGGGUAAACAUUUAAAACAUUCUCUUUAUAAUUGCAGGGUGUUAAAAAUUCCACUGUGUACUAUAGUCAGGGAUGUGUAUGGUUAAGUGUAAAGAUUCUUUCUUUUCAAUCCUGUCACUUGGAGUUUUUGUAUAUUUUUGAAAGAAAGUUAGCAUACCUUUUUGAUCCUCAUAGGUUCUCUCAGAUCACUCAUUAUCUUUUAUAUAUAUAUCUCACUGAGGCUGUUUUAUUUUGCAAAAAUUCUCAAGCAUACUUACUUUGGAUUUAUUGCCUGAUCAAAACGGGAUCCGAGGAGGGAAAUGUCAUACUCUUAGAUCAAAGACUUUGGAAAUUAAAAACUUUGUCAACUCUUGCUGGCAUAUUGCUUAUUAGAGGGACCAUGGGCUGUCAUUUUUUUUCUUUUUUUUUAAGUGGAUACCGAGGUACCCCUAAUUCUACUGCCGGACACUUGUCCAUUUUUUUCUGCGAGGUUGUCGAGCACUUGCUCCUUUUUAUUUCCUCGAAAUAUCUUCUAUUUUUGCAUAGCCCAUGCCUCUAAUGCAAUAAUACUUCGGAAGAGUGAAUCUUACUGAAAUAAUGUCUUGAUCUUAGGAGCAUGAUAAAUCUCUCAACAAGGGUCUAACUCAUUUUGAACAAACUCAAUACAGAGCAGAUAGCUUUUAUAAUCAUAUUUAAUAUUUCAGUUUUAUCAGGCAUAUAAAACACUGAGGAUGGUAGCUAGGAAUUUGAACAUUUUGAAAUAAAUUCUCCAAGCAACAAUGAUAUCAAGAAUAAGAAACUCAUACUCUACCAUCACAUAUUCCAUCUUGACUUAAGUAACACAGGGUUUUAAAAAAUGAUUUUAUACUAAUUGCAAGUUUUCAGGAAAUAUCACAGAUUGAGAUUAAUCAUGAUUAGAAAUAUUUUAAUCUUUUUAUUUUAUCAUGUCGGGAACAAUAUUCUGCAUAAUCUAAUAUAUAUAUAUGUGUAGAGUAAAGUGUGCAGAGUGUGUACCUGAAUCGUGGAGUGGUGUAGUCGGAGUGUGUUUAGCAUGUCGAGGGAUCUCCCCCAUACUUGUUUUCUGCUUUCUUGCACAAAAAUAAAGUAGAGACACACAAGACAUAAUAAUAAUACUCUUUAUUGAUCUUGAGGCAUUUAUUACACAAGGAAGAACAAAAUUAUUUUUGGCUAUUCUCUCCCGGAUUAGGAGUAGAAUAUUUUUGGGUGAUUCUGAAGAUGAAAUGUAUGGAUAUAUGUGGAUGGUACUUCCGGAGUAGAAGUAGCAUGUGUGAGUGAACGUGCAAGUGAAUCUUGAUUUAACCACAUGACAAGCUCCUAAGGGUCUACACAGCUUGACCACACUCAAUGCUCAUAAGCAGUAAAAAGUAAUUGUGUGGCUCGAAGUCUAGCAAGCAUGUAUAUAUGGCUGUGGUAGGAAUUUAAACUCUCAUCAUACAGGAACUCAUCAUGCAACAUUUUAAAGAUUUCCAAAGAUAAAAUUCUCCAGAAUUCUAGCAUCUCUAGAAACAGAUAAACAGCAGCUCAACCUUCCCAUAUCGUAUCCGUUAACAACUUAGAUUUCAGAUCAAGUUUUCAUCCCACAAGUUUAGGUCUAGAGCAAGCUUUAAAUUAUAACAGUUAUG
rnacentral:lncRNA from 1 species